rnacentral:rRNA from 1 species
GCGGCCUAUCAGCUUGUUGGUGAGGUAAUGGCUCACCAAGGCGACGACGGGUAGCCGGCCUGAGAGGGCGACCGGCCACACUGGAACUGAGACACGGUCCAGACACCUACGGGUGGCAGCAGUCGAGAAUUUUUCUCAAUGGACGAAAGUCUGAAGGAGCGACGCCGCGUGGGGGAUGAAGGGCUUCGGUCCGUAAACCCCUGUCAUUUGUGAACAAACCUUACUAUUGAAUAGAUAGUGAGCUGAUAGUAGCGAAAGAGGAAGGGACGGCUAACUCUGUGCCAGCAGCCGCGGUAAUACAGAGGUCCCAAGCGUUGUUCGGAUUCACUGGCGUAAAGGGUGCGUAGGCGGUGGGGUAAGUCUGGUGUGAAAGCUCGGAGCUCAACUCCGAAAUGGCAUCGGAAACUACUUCACUUGAGGUUUGGAGGGGAGACUGGAAUUCCU